AGGUCAUUUCAGACUCUUCUGUGUCGAGUGGAGGAGCAACUCUGUGCCCAGCUUAGAGGACUGGAAGAGGCCGCAAUCUUCCGCCUGCUGGAGGGUGGAGGAUGGAUGGAGCCUGGAACCUGGGUCACUACCUCGCUGCAGUUGGUGGUGGCGAUAGAGCAGUAGGAGAGCAUUCGGCAGCAGGAGCUUCUCCUGCUGGGCUGGAGGACUAGAAGGAAGAGGCACUGCCACAUGCUGGAGGCUGGAACCUGUGCCACCAUGGCUCGCCUCGCUGUGGUUGGUGGUGACAUCGGAGACUGCAGCUCAGCCACAGUGGUAGAAAUGUGAUGGGGUAGAUGGUUUCCUAGAAACAUGAUUGUUUAUUGGCGUUGAUCUCACAGUCUGGUGAGAACUUCUUUACUGAUAAUGUCAAGUUCAGUUUAUCCUCCCAACCAAGGAGCAUUCAGCACAGAACAAAGUCGUUCUCCUCCUCACUCUGUAAAGUAUACGUUUCCCAGCACCCACCACCAGCAGGAUCCAGCAUUCGGAGGCAAACAUGAAGCUCCAUCCUCUCCAAUUUCGGGGCAACCAUGUGGAGAUGAUCAAAAUGCUUUACCUUCAAAACUUUCAAACGAAGAGUUAAUACAAAGUAUGGAUCGUGUAGAUUGAAAAAUUGCAAAAGUAGAACAGCAGAUCCUUAAACUGAAAAAGAAACAAGUAAAAGUCUUUGCCUAAUAUAUUCUAAGAAUGUAUGUUUUUCUCCCUACAGAAGAUAAUUUUGAGUUUUCCAUAUUUUGAAACUUUACAUAAAAGGAAUCAUGCCUUA